CCUACGGGUGGCAGCAGUCGAGAAUCAUUCACAAUGGGGGAAACCCUGAUGGUGCGACGCCGCGUGGGGGAAUGAAGGUCUUCGGAUUGUAAACCUCUGUCAUGUGGGAGCAAAUUAAAAAGAUAGUACCACAAGAGGAAGAGACGGCUAACCCUGUGCCAGCAGCCGCGGUAAGACAGAGGGCUCAAGUGCUGUUCGGAAUCACUGGGCGUAACGCGUGCGUUGGCGGUUUCGUAAGGCGCGUGUGAAAGGCGCGGGCGCAACCCGCGGACGGCACAUGAUACUGCGAGACUAGAGUAAUGGAGGGGGAACCGGAAUGCUCGGUGUAGCAGUGAAAUGCGUAGAUAUCGAGAGGAACACUCGUGGCGAAGGCGGGUUCCUGGACAUUAACUGACGCUGAGGCACGAAGGCCAGGGGAGCGAAAGGGAUUAGAUACCCGAGGAGUC
rnacentral:rRNA from 1 species